UCUUGCUGGAUGGCGGCCUCUUCUUGCAGUGUGGCCUCCAGCUUCGCCUUGUUGUCUAUCUGUUCGCCUUCCACUUCUGCCGCUUUUACCUGAGCCUCCUUUGCCUUCAGAAGAAAGGAGAAAGAAGAAGGUAACUGCACUGAGCCUGAGGCACCAGAUCUGAAGUGUCCUUACCUCUCUGAGCAAUGUUACCACCCAGGCUUCCUACAAAACAACAGAGUACACAACGGCAAGCUGCCUCGUGUGUUUAGAGGGUCUAAGGCUUCUAAGGGGGAUGGAAAAGCACUGGCUGCUUCUGCAGAGGACUUCGAUUCAGUUCCUAACAUUCACAUGGCUGCUCACAACUCUUUCUAACUCCAGUUACUGGAGACCUGACACACUCUUCUGGUCUCCAUAGGCACUUGCAUGCAUGAGGUAUACAAACAUGCAUUCAAAUACCCAUACAAAUAAAAUAAAUAUUAAAAAUAUACC